ACGCUGACAGAAUGCUUAACACAUGCAAGUCAACUUGAAUUUGGGUUUUUAACUUAGAUUUGGGUGGCGGACGGGUGAGUAACGCGUAAAGAACUUGCCUCACAGCUAGGGACAACAUUUAGAAAUGAAUGCUAAUACCUGAUAUUAUGAUUUUAAGGCAUCUUAGAAUUAUGAAAGCUAUAUGCGCUGUGAGAGAGCUUUGCGUCCCAUUAGCUAGUUGGAGAGGUAACAGCUCACCAAGGCGAUGAUGGGUAGCCGGCCUGAGAGGGUGAACGGCCACAAGGGGACUGAGACACGGCCCUUACUCCUACGGGAGGCAGCAGUGGGGAAUAUUGGACAAUGGACCGAGAGUCUGAUCCAGCAAUUCUGUGUGCACGAUGAAGUUUUUCGGAAUGUAAAGUGCUUUCAGUUGGGAAGAAAAAAUGACGGUACCAACAGAAGAAGUGACGGCUAAAUACGUGCCAGCAGCCGCGGUAAUACGUAUGUCACGAGCGUUAUCCGGAUUUAUUGGGCGUAAAGCGCGUCUAGGUGGUUAUGUAAGUCUGAUGUGAAAAUACAGGGCUCAACUCUGUAUUGCGUUGGAAACUGUAUAACUAGAGUACUGGAGAGGUAAGCGGAACUACAAGUGUAGAGGUGAAAUUCGUAGAUAUUUGUAGGAAUGCCGAUGGGGAAGCCAGCUUACUGGACAGAUACUGACGCUAAAGCGCGAAAGCGUGG
rnacentral:rRNA from 1 species